rnacentral:lncRNA from 1 species
CGGGGGCCCCACCCAAAACUGCAGUUGGAAACAGAUUGGGGCAGCACAGUGAGGUGUACACGUUGUGUCCAAAUUCAGAGGCCUCCCUUAUUCCCCGUUUUUAGUGGCGGUCGGUGUUCGUUGCAGCAACUGACGUCAGUUGCCCGUUUCUUAGAAGGAGCUAUCCUAACAUGCUCCAGAUCCCUAGGCACUUGCCAGAGGAGGGGAGACCCUGGCGUGCACUUAAUUCACUUAUCGGGCUAAUUGACCUGCUGCUUCAUGUUUACUAGGUCCAGUCAGCCGGUGUCAUCCAUAUAGUGGCAAUGGCGUGUGGGUGUGAUGUUCUGUGGGAAGUUGGGUUGACCCAGAUCUCGACAGAGAUUGUGGCAGACAAUAAGAAAGUUGAGUGAACAGCCCCGAGGCAAGCCGUGAAGGUGUGCUGUUGCCCCGCGAAAAUGAGGUAAGUCUGGUGGUCCUUGCGUCCUGGUAGAGAAAAAGCACUUGCAAGGCCAAUAUUCAUGAAGGUGAGACUCUUCAAGCCCCUGAAGUCAUCCUAAACCUUUCCCUGCAGAGGCAACCCCUCUGGGGGUUAAAACAUCCUGAUUACCGCCUCAUCACUGCUGCCGGUGAUGGGUACUGUGCACAUCUCUGGUGGGCCCUGUCACUUGAGCUCUGUUAAGCUGGUCUCUCAUCUCCAUUGAAAUCAGACCUGACGGCAGCAUCUCCCAAUGCCGUAGUAGCCUAGAGGGCACUGCCACUUUUCAGGGAUGCAGGUGCCCUCCUAAGUAAUCUGUUUCUCAAUGUCUUAAAACAAGGUGUCCUCCUCUUUACUCUGAGUGUGUGUGUGUGCGCGCGUGCGUGUGUGUGUGCGUGCAUAUACCAUAUUGCACACGAUAAACCUAUUUCCACAUUCCUAUACCCCCAAGCCUUUGGAUUCCUUCCUCUACAUUAUACCAGGGGAGUUCUGGCUAUUGAACCUCCCUGAAUUUAGGCCACUGUGAGUCCAGGUCUCGGUCAACCUACCAAAUAAAAUCUCCCUCAAGCUACUCAGUCUAACACCUUAAAUCCAGUCUUUGCAAAUUGGCCCGUAUAGGUCAAUUUGAUCUGGUCCAGUGUUGUAUCCCAUCCUCCUUGGUCAGAUACUCUUAGAUGCUGUUCCCGUGUUUAUUACCCAGGUUCAUGCCAAUUACACGAGCAAAGCCUUGCAAUUCUUUUAAAGUAUAAGCGGCAUCAGAUUUUACACUUGUCCACCUAGAGCAUGCUAGACUUGAGUUGGAGGUCUAGGGGGACAGUAAGGGGUGGUUGGAGAGAAUGGAGACCUCCUAGGCAGGUGUAGCAAAGUGGUAUUAGGACCGACAGAAGAAAUUCGCAGGAUCCCCUGUCGCAGGCUGCCAGCUUCAUCUCUACAGGCCCUUGACCUGAUCAUGCUCCUGCCUGCCUUUGCGCAGCCCUGUGGCAAAUGGACCGAAGGCAGUGUUUGGUGGUUUCUGCUCUGCCGCUCUACCCGGCCACAGGCCCUCGUCUGGGUGCCAGAGGCCUGGAAACACCUAUCGGCCUUGGCUCUCGGUGGAAUGACCCUUGGCCCCUCUGCAUGGAAUGCCUCCCCCACCUGCCCCAGCUGGAACAUGCAGCCUUCUAAGCCUGGGCUUGGAGCCAGGGCAGCGAGCGUUCAGGGGAUGCUCAGCAAAUGUGGAAGGGAAACCAGACAUGGAGAGUCUCCCUGCUCCCCCUCCUACUCAGCAGAAGCCAAAGACCCUGCAUUGCCCAUCAGGCCCAGUGUCGCAGACUAUGAGUCUGGAGUUGUCCCUUGUCCAGCAAGAGAGGGGAUGCAGAAAUGAAUGCGAGAGAGACUAAUGUCUAUGAGGAGACAAGAGCCCUAAGUAAAGGUCCCUUCUCCAUAUUUAUUAGGAUCAGAGGGCUUACAUAUGUGGCAGAUGUGCAGAAAGAAACAAAACAGUAAUCGUUAACUCAUAUGAGGGGAAAAGGGUUUCGAAGGUAUGAGGCAUUAGAGGUUAGGGUAAAGACAAGUCAACAUCCCAGCACCAAGCAGAUGGCCGUUUCCUGCAGGCACCGCAUCUGUUUAACUUUUCUAAGGACUAAGAUAAAUGGAGCAUGCUAUCCUGAGAAUAAUAAGUUCCUCAAGAUUCCCUUAAGACCUCUAUUAUCAUUAGCUGUUCUCAGACACUUGGGACACUUUUGUCCUGUUGCGGGGGGUGGGGGGGUGGCUUUCAGCUCUAUGCUUUGUUCUACUUAGUGACUAGCCUUGGGUGCUUUCGCCCUGAGGAAGCCCUAUGCUUUGUUAACCCCUUGGUAUAGGCAUGGAGAAUUUUUAAACUUCUUUCCCACAGCCCAGCAUGGCUGGUCUCCAUAAGGGCUCUGAGCUCUCCCACCAGCCCUCUGCCCUUUGCCUACCCACCCCUGCCACCCAGCCUCCUCAUGGCUCAUCCUGCCUCACAGCCUUUACACUGGCUGUUCCCCCUGCCCAGAAUGCUCCUCCCCCAGGAGUUACCUGCAGGACUCAACCUGCUGGCCUUGUUCAGAUCUCUGCUCCCCGGGAAGCCUUCCCUGACCUUCCAAUGUCACGUGGCUCCUCUGCACCCCAUAUUCCACCACAUCCUCAGGGUUUAUGUUCUUCCCAGCACCCACCCUCUGCAUUCUCCAUCUCCCUGACCAGCUGGGCUCCAUGCAGGCAGAGUGUGGGUCGAUGUUUUCCCACUGUCUUUUUUGUGUCUGGAACACAGGAGAUGCUCAAUAAAUGCUUAUGGAGUGAACAAGGGCAGAGGAGGCCAGGUCGGGUGUGAUGUGAGACCUAGGAGGCUUCCGUGGGCCCUCAACCUAGGGAGAGAGCUGGGGCUGGACACCCAGGGUGCAGACUAGGUCUCCAGGGAUGGCAGGACUUCCUCAGAGGCCCAGUGUGAGAACACCAUGUUCUUACUCCUCCCAUUCUAUCCCAUCAGGCUGUGCCUAGGGAGAAGGGGAGGCCAUGAGGAGAUAGGGAGAAGGGGAGGCCACAGAAAGAGCCGGAGGCCUGGCCUCUGGACGGUGGGCUACAGCCACACAAGCGACCACAGGCAGCUCGGACAACUGUCCACAACCCGAGCACAGGUUUGGAGUUGGGAGGUGGGCAGAAGCACCGAUCUGAACCCAAGGUCCUUGUUGCAGAUCGGACUCCAAAUCCAUGGUGGGUCACACAGCACAGAAUUAAUCAGCCAAGGAGAACCAACUAACAGCUCCUGGAAAGAGCCAGGACGCACCUCCAGGAAGACCACAUAACCUCCAUUGUAGGAUAUCCAGACACAGGGGCACCUUGGUGACUCAGUUGGUUAAGCAUCUGACUUCGCCUCAGGUCAUGAUCUCACAGUUCUGGAGUUCGAACCCAGCCUCUGGUGAGCUUGAGCCCACUUCGAGUAAACGCAGGCCCCGCUUCAGGUGAGCCCAGCUCUCUCUCUCUCUCUCUCUCUCUCUCUCUCUCUCUCUCUCUGCCCCUCACUUGUGCCAUCUCUCUCUCUCCAAAAAAAACCACAACAACAACCCAGAGACAGGCAAACCCCAUGUGGACCCUCACCC